GCAGGCGCGAAACCUUUACACUGCACGACAGUGCGAUAGGGGGAUCCCAAGUGCACAGGCAUAGCGCCUGUGCUUUUCGGUACCUUAAGGCGGUACCAGAAUAAGGGCUGGGCAAGACCGGUGCCAGCCGCCGCGGUAAUACCGGCAGCCCAAGUGAUGGCCGAUCUUAUUGGGCCUAAAGCGUCCGUAGCUGGCCGUACAAGUCCAUCGGGAAAUCCACCUGCUCAACAGGUGGGCGCCCGGUAGAAACUGUGCGGCUUGGGACCGGAAGGCGCGACGGGUACGUCCGGGGUAGGAGUGAAAUCCCGUAAUCCUGGACGGACCGCCGAUGGCGAAAGCACGUCGCGAGAACGGAUCCGACAGUGAGGGACGAAAGCCAGGGUCUCGAACCGGAUUAGAUACCCGGGUAGUCCUGGCCGUAAACAAUGUCUGCUAGGUGUGGCUCCCACUACGAGUGGGUGCUGUGCCGUAGGGAAGCCGMUAAKCAGACCGCCUGGGAAGUACGUCCRCAAGGAUGAAACUUAAAGGAAUUGGCGGGGGAGCACUACAACCGGAGGAGCCUGCGGUUUAAUUGGAUUCAACGCCGG
rnacentral:rRNA from 1 species